UAAAAGUGGGAGUUUGUACAGGUGGGUGUGCCAGUUCAUUACCUAAGUUAUGAGCACGACUAGUAGGUGUAUCAUCUAAAUCUACUGGAGCUUGGGUUUCAUCAUCAUCAUCAUCCUCAUUUCCCUCUAAGAUAGGUGCAUUAGGAUAAAGAGCAUUCAUAAUAUCAUCGUCUAUUCUAUCACCUACUGCUACAUCAUGUAGAAAAUCAAUAUCGCUAAACUGAAAACAAGGGUGAUCACUAUCAAGGAUUCUGAAGGGUUCAUUAGGACAUCUAGGUUGGCUACUACUUUAAACUUGCUUAUCUUUUCUAGGUC
rnacentral:lncRNA from 1 species